UACGUAGGUGGCAAGCGUUGUCCGGAUUUAUUGGGGUUAAAGGGUGCGUAGGCGGCUUAUUAAGUCAGUGGUGAAAUACUCUAGCUCAACUAGAGGGGUGCCAUUGAUACUGAUGAGCUUGAGUACAGAUGAGGUAGGCGGAAUUGACGGUGUAGCGGUGAAAUGCUUAGAUAUCGUCAAGAACACCUAUAGCGAAGGCAGCUUACUAGGCUGUAACUGACGCUGAGACGCGAAAGCAUGGGGAGCGAACAGG
rnacentral:rRNA from 1 species